AAGUGGAACAAUGCAACGGCUCAUUUCUGAUGGCGACAUCACGCCAGUCUUGGCAACUUUUUUGUUUCCUCUUCCAUUUCUAUAUUUUUUUCUGCACACUCCACUCGACUGCUUUCGAGAGAGAGUCACAACCAGGAUUUAUUUUUUAAUGUACUUUAAUAUUUUUUUGAUCCACUCUUUAUCUGAUUCGUUUUUGUACUUUCUGUGUGUUUUUGCGCGUAGAAAAACAGCUUGAGAUUCUGCAACGAUGCGUAUUCAGGUGGAUUUUUAAAAAAUAUAUCUUGUUUUAUUUGUGCGCGGUAUCUUUGCCUGUGCUCAAGUGGAAGUACGCUUGUACUUGCGUGCGUCUUCGUGAGUGUGAUCGUGUGGCAGUAAUUACCAAAGUGUGUGUCAGGGUGUGUGAGAGCGGUGCGUCGCAUUUAAACGGAUUGCGCACAUUCGUUAGGGUCCAUUUAUGCUUUAAAACAAAAUAGCCCAUUUUAUUUUUUCUGCAAUUUUAUUUUCAAUUGUUAUAUAUCUGCCUGUUAGUUUGGAAAUGCUAUGCUACGUAUUGUAAGAUUUAUUCUUAUUUUAUUUGUUAAAUUGUCUUGAUUAUUGCACAUGCAUGAUUCAGUUUUUCAUUAUCAUUCCGUUUAUUUUUAAAUAAUUUAUUGUUUGUCAGAUUGGCCACGCAACUAAUUUGGCAAAGAGAAAUAGUAUAUGCAUCUUAAUAUACUUUAUUAAAAAAUCUUGUGCAUUCAUCAGAUUUACUUGAUUUAGCGCGUACGAAUGGUGUAAAAAAAAAAUAAUUUCGGGGGGUGGACUGUAUUAUCUUUAAUAUAAUAUGAUCAUAUAUUAUGAUUCAAAGCAGUGUAUUUUCUCCGCGUGUGUGGAUUGCCUCUGCCGUCUAGUUCAAGUCCCCGUUAAGCCGAAAGGGAUCGCUGUAGGCGCUGCUAAAGAGUGUGUGCGCGCGACUGGUGAUCACGUGGUGAAAAAAAAAUCUACAGCGCAAAUAAAGGGGGGAAAGAGUGAUGACGCAGGAACAGGGAGGAAUGGAGGCAGCCUUUUCAAAAAGAAGGAAAAAGCGGAGAGAGGAGCAGGGUAGGGCUAAACAAAAGCGAGUGGAGCGCCUAAUGAUCAGAUGACAGCGCGGCACAGCAGCAUGAUGCUGACACCAAUACAAGACUCAUCGGAAUAGGACCUUUUAUUUAUUUAGUUUUAUUGCAUAAAUGCUAAUUGCAUUAAUCAUACAGUGGGGAGUCAUUGUGACAACUGCACACACACAGAUGUAUGGCGUUCAUCAGAUGGCGCCGCCCACCCUCAUGGGGCUGAAUGGCAGACUGCUGGAUGCACUAAGUGAUGAAAUGAUGACCCCAUUAUGAGAAGCGGCUCCAAAAUUAGGGGGUAUCGGCCAAAGAUUGCAGACCACCGCCAUCCUCCUCCUCUUGCUCGCCCUGCUGCACACACGAUGAUUGAUUCGCUUGAGAUGGAUCACAGGAAGCAGCUAUUGAUUUUUCUUCUCCCUGCCUAUAGUGUUUUAUGAAGAAAAUACUUAUUUACACUUGGGUGUUAUCCUGACUUACUCAAUAUCCACUUUUUAGGGGGAGGAUAAAGGAUCUAAUUGUCCUUGCUCGGUGACGUGACAAAUGACCUGUAAUAUUAUUUCGGUAGGGAGUCAAUAGGUGGGCUGACUAAAUGAAUAUUGAUUGGUUAUAAUGAAGCCCAAGUGUGAAUGGGAGCGCCUUCCCGGGCUGGGCCUUGCAGUCAGCAUUCAUAUGUGAUGAUGCCAGACGUACACAACAGAGACAAAAUACAGUCAAACAAGGGACGUUUUGCAAAAUAAUUAUUUUGUAAUUGUGAAAAUAAAAUAAUCAUAUUGUACCCAUCAUAAAAGCUUUGCUAACUGUAAAAUCAAUAUUUUACCAUGUAUAUGAUACGUGUAAAAAUAAAGCUACACUAAAACCAAACCAAAAUAUGGUACCACAUAGCAGCAGUACCCUAAAAAGAUUUUUUUUUGUUUUAUAAUAAAUUCAAAAGUAGGUUAAUGGUAUUGUUGCCAGCAAGUCAAUCAUCUGAAUGGUGAUUUUUCGCAUUCUUAACUGUCAUACAAAUGAAAAAACAAGUUAACCAUCGUUUAGCAAGACUAAAGUGCCAACUAAAAUUAUGUGAUUCAGUCAUGAUGGAAAUGUAGUUUCCACAAAAUUGUCAGUAAGACAUUUCUGAAGGUGAGCCAGCAUUCUGCACUGUAUAUUUAACUUUCUUAACUUGCAUACAAGUGUAAAAAAAAAGUUAAAGGCUGUGUUGUGAAACAUAAAAUGUGUUGAUUAUAUGUGUGUGAAUGUGUCCAUGGAUGUGAAUGUGAAUUGUUGUUCGAGAUGCUAACAACCACCGCACUGCACACAUUUGCACCAACUGGAAUCGGAAAAAAGGAGAGUAACUGUAUGUGAGGCAUAAUGAAAUUUGACGAGGUUGGUGAUAGAUCACAGCCCAGGUAAUGUAAACACAUUAAUCCCUCAGGGUUCACCCACUCUUCCUCUCUCUUUAGCCCUCCCCACCCCAGACCCCUGAUCUCUACUCCAUGCUCAUCAUCUUCCCUAAAUGUGUUAUUGGAGCACAAAACCAGAAGCAGCCUUAAUCUGUCAACAUGGCCUUUAAUUGGACCACCGGAAGAAAAAAAAAAAUGAAGAAAAUCGGUGCCACUCCUAAGUGCACACAUGCCAUACGAAGGAAGUUCAUCUGGCGAGAGCUCUCGAGGCAUAAUUAAAAGUAGCUUUUAAUAGGCUUGUAAUGCAGAGCUGACUUUAAGUAGAGGGCAGACAUGUGAGGGGGCUUGUAAACGAUAUGCCACCGCCAUCUGACAUCACGCCACCCCCCACCACCACUACGGUCACCAAAAACAAGGCUGGGAAAAACCUUCACACAUUCCAUUUUUGUCAUUUAAACAGGCCACUGACACCUUCAAGAGUAUUUCUAAUUUUGUUCUUUUGUCUGUUGUGUUCAAGGUAGAACUCUGACAUCACCCCGCCACCAUUUCUCCUAUCUUGGAUGUGGCGAGAUGCCGUCACUGGGACCCAAUUGAACGUUUUCAAAUUAGAUCUUCAAGUUGCAUUUUACAUUUAAUUUAGCUGUCACAAAUAAAAAUGCAUUUUUUAAAUUUAAUUUAAUUUAGAUACAGUAAAAUGUUAAAAAUCUCAAAACUAUAAUAGCGCUAUACCUACAAUAUAUGCAAAGGGAGUUUUAUGGAACAUGAGUUGCAGAAUAGUUUGUUUAAAUUCAGAAUUGAUUUUUAUUAUUUUAAACUGUGGUUUGCUGGGCUUGGAGGAGGUGUGGUGUCAUGUUCUCUUUUGCAUUCCACAGCAGCCGCAUUGUUGUUGUUUAUUUUGCUCAGGACACUCUUUGAUACGGUGUCGUCUUACCAUUUUGCUUGCUGCCAGCUGUGUUUCAUAAUGCCAUUAGAAAUUCAAAUAGGCACGCUUUUCAUUCUCCUGAGUCAGCAACUUUCAUUAACUCCUUGUGGUGCUAAAACUAUAAUCCCUCAAAACUUUGAACAAAACAAAACAAUUCACAAACAAUGCCUUUUCACUGGAGUGUUAUGCAUGACUGUUGGCAAAAUUGUCAACAUGGCGCCCCAUUUUAGUUUUAACAGUAAUUGAGGCACAAAAUAUGAUCCAUAACACUUUAAUAUUAGUUUAAAGACAUUUUAUUUUGGAAAAAAACGGCACUUAACGUGUGUGUGUAUGUGUGUCCAUGUGAUGAAGACUCUCCAUCAACAAACCAGGCUGAACUUGGCACAUCACCCACAUACAAAGAUGCAUCACUUACCACACAGUUGCUUGACACCAAUUACUUUCCUAUUAUCCAGGGCUUUGGCGCCAUCUUGUGGAUUCUUGGAUUAUUACAGAAAGGUUGGUAGGUUGGUAGGUAACAACCAAUCAUCACACCAAAACAUACCGCCGAAUGUUAUUCUAAAUUUUUAAUUUAUUAAUCUUUCACCGCUUGAUAUUUUACCAUCUUUGCCAUAAACGUUCAAUUCCGAGAGCUAAUUGCGGGUGUAAGUGAAUAUUUAAAAGUCAAACAUGUCGAAAUAAUGUCAGACGAAUUUGGACAAGGCGCAGAUGUUCCUCUCAUGCGUUGCCAAGUCUUCCUCGAAAGAGUGAAGAUUGGUUUUGUCCGACAUCCAAAGCAGAAAAUUCCUGACACCUGGUGCAUAUUUAGUUGGUGUUUUAAGAUAUUUCCCCUAACUUUUCAUGUCUCUUUCCACUCAGCUGUGCCACUCAAAGAUUUACAAUCCCAAAUACAUUGGAACCUCAAAAGUGGUAUUAUUUGGAGUACCGUGGGGUUAGCUGGGUAAAGUAAAUCAAAAGUCAAUCAAAAUUUGGAAUUCAUAACACGAUUAUCGUGUGAGACUUAGUCAGCUCACUGAGUAUGUGAAGCAGGGGUGUCAAUCUCAUUUCGGUCACCACAUUUAAGUUCCUUAGGUGGCUGUUGUGACAGUGAAACCAUAAAGAUGUGUAAUCACAUUAUUGCAAAUCCACAACAAAUUGAUUUGCUUGCACUAUUUCGACAGAUUAAAAGUGAAGACAAUUUAGCAACAAAUUUGAGCAAUAGACUUAUGCUUUAGUGGGCCACAAAAAAUGAUGUAAUGGGCCAGAUAUGACCCCCGGGCCACGGGUUUAACACCUGUAAGCUGAAUGAUGUUUAUUAUUAUUAAUUUGCAAUUCUGAAGGAGUUUAGUUGUCCUAAUCAUUAGCUUACCCCUCUCUUCAUACACUUUUUCAAAGAGGUAUGAAUGCUUAAAUGACAUGACAUUCAACCUUCGAAUCAAACGCUUCUUGUAAGUCUCAGGACCGAUUUUGAUGGCCUACGUAAUUAUUGGCAGCUGUUUCAAAGGCAGCAAGCUCAAGAAAAACAUGAAGAUUUGUUUUGUUGUUGCUGUAAUCAAGUGCAUGCAAUGUCGACGUGAAUUUGGAACAUCAAAUAAACAUCUGCUACACGGAUAAA